CCCAUUUUCCCAAAGAAACCCAAAUUCCCUUCCCCAGAAUUUCACCUAAGAUUUAAGAUUAAGAAGGAAAAUAUUUUCCUUCGUAAUGAAGAUAUCAAGCCUCUUAGCAGCCUCAGUGGCCGCUUCUGCUUCUGCCAUUUCCGCUUCCUCGUCUUCCAAAAUUCACUCUCUGCACGAGGUAAAAUCAUUUCCCACGUCUUUUUCUUCUCCUUUUUCAAUUAAAUGUUUAUUGGAUAAAGCUUUUAUUGGUUAAAAAAUUGAUUAAAUUUCAUUUUUAGUUACAAAUUUCAUUGGAUUCACAACUUUUUUCCACUUUUUCACCACAUUUCAUGGCACCAACGAUAUUUUAUCAACUUUUACCAAUAUCACAGAACCCCUAAAUUUGAAACCUAUUUUCUAACCGAGAAAACUAAUUAUUUUGAGAUCUAGCUUUACGUUGAAUUUUGACGAUUUUUUCUGUAAUUUUUAGGAUGCGAUUGUGAGGAAAAAUAGGGAGAAUUCAACAUCGCAGAGGCCGUCUUCUUCUUCUUGUUCCAAUAAAUUUGCGCCAAGAUUUGAUGGAUUAAGGUUCAUAGAGACACUGAUUACUGCUCAUAGAUGAGUGAAAUACGUUGUAAAAAAAAUGAUAAGAAAAAUGCUUAAUUUUAGUGGUUAUUAAGCUGUUUGUCCUAAACUGUAUUAUAUAUUGGCUAAAAACUGUGAUGAUGUUGAGAGAAAUUUAAGGAAAAAAAAAAUUGGGGAGAUUGUCAAUGAUAAUGAGAGAUGAAUUGGUUUGCAC
rnacentral:lncRNA from 1 species